rnacentral:lncRNA from 1 species
GGGCACAAGAGAGCCAGACAGUCUACGGAGGCUGCAAGAACCUAUUGCAGAUCUGUGCCAGGGGUGAGUGGAUUAAUGCAGCUGCUUACAGUUCUUAGAAAAGUUAGUGUACAAUAAUAUUUUACAAGACAUAUGUAGGUAUGGUAAUUGAGGCUCUUUUUGUGUGGUUGCAACAUUCUGGUUCAGAUGAGGAAAAAUGUUUUUGCAUUGUGAGGUAAACCUGUUUUUAUUUCCAUCAGGUGCCGGCUAUCAUUGGUGAGGAUGCGUCCUCUAUUGGGAGACAUGUGAACAUCCUGCGUGUCCAGUAUGAGAGAAUGCAACCAGACACCUCUAUUGUUAAAGACUGCAUGCAGCGAACAUUUGCGUGGCGGCGAAGAGAGAUAGCAGAUGGAAUGACUGUGGAGGAUAUACUCAAGAAAUACCCUUUCUUAAGAACACCCUCAGGGUUGUACGAUGAGGUUGACAGGAUCCAUCCAUCAUCUGUCAACUUAUGCCGGUGAUGGAAAGAGGGCUUCACAAGUGUUGUGCUGAAGGUGCUCAAGCUUGCUCAGGGAAAAACCCCACUGGCCAAAAUCUACGUUGAAGGAAGAGAGGAAAUGCUGGUCGAGGAUCUACAAGGUAUUGUUACUUUUGUGUGUGUAGUGAAUAAUCAUCAUCAGAAAGUUGAUAUGGGCAGUACUUUAUUUUAAGUGCUUCUGUAGAAAAUGUGUCAUCAUGUCAGAGUGUUGUUGGAAAGUUUAUGGGGGUGGCUGUCUUUAAAAUAAAUUAAUAAGUAAUAUCGUUGCUCCACAAAUUUAAGUGCCAAGUACUUUGUGACAAAUAAAUAACUGAACGAUACAGUGUACAGACCACAACUGAAUAGCUUCCCAUUCUAACAACUAACAAAAUAAAUCCAGUGAAGAACAGAAAUUAGGCCCCUUUUUCUGAGAGAGCUGUUGCCUGUUGACCAUUCAGUGUUAAUUCAGUUCAAGAAUUAACAUUAAAGUUAUCCACUCCAGUUAAUAUUGACUAGCAGCUAUGUACUGCGUGCUAAGCUCCACAGCCCAGCUCUGAGUGUGCAAGGACAGGAGUGCUGUUCAGACAGGUCCACCUGAGGGCCGGUCAAGGAGGGGCUGAGCGCUGCUCUACAAAGAAAUAAGAAUUUACCCAAUAUAAAUAGUAAAAAAGAAAAUCUAUAUGUGUCAGUCAAGGUUUAUAUUGUUGUGGGCCGCCACAAAUAAAUCAAUGCUUGGGAAACAUUGAAAUUAGUGGGGAGGGCAAAAAACUGUUUUUGGUAACAUCAUAGUAACUAACUGGGUGUUCAUUAAACUUGUGCAUUCAAUUUACUGAAAUGUCAACAUGAUGCUGAAGAGAUUUCCAUCUGCUCUGUGUUCACCUAUUAAGGCAGUCAACUGGGUCUUAAA